rnacentral:rRNA from 1 species
UACGAAGGGGGCUAGCGUUGUUCGGAAUUACUGGGCGUAAAGGGCGCGUAGGCGGCCCGUUCAGUCAGAAGUGAAAGCCCCGGGCUCAACCUGGGAAUGGCUUUUGAUACUGGCGGGCUUGAGUUCCGGAGAGGAUGGUGGAAUUCCCAGUGUAGAGGUGAAAUUCGUAGAUAUUGGGAAGAACACCGGUGGCGAAGGCGGCCAUCUGGACGGACACUGACGCUGAGGCGCGAAAGCGUGGGGAGCAAACAGGA